CUCUGCCCCUCCCCCGUUCAUGCUCUGUCUCUCUCUCUCUCUCUCUCUCAAAAUAAAUAAACUAAAAAAAAAAUUUUUUUUUAGGAUGCCGUGUUAUUUCUUUUGCAAUCAUAAAACAACCUCAUAGAGAUGAAUGUCUUUUAUUAUGAAAAUUGCUGUUACAUUACAGCCAACAUUCCAAAACAGUAUUUUAAUAAACACGUCUUGAUUAUAAA